UUCCGAAAUUUGGGAAGGCGAAAUUAAGGUUGAAUUCGGAAAUAGAAGGUAGAGAGAAGAAUGGUGGAAGCCUGGAAGUUAUGAAAGAUGAAAGAGAGGGAGAAGAUGACAAUCAGGGAGACCCAAAGAAGAAGUGUGUCUUUUAUUAUUUUUUUACUUUAAUUUAAUAUUAUUUUGUUAUAUCAUGAUGAAAUGUCACCUUUUUAUUGGAUAUGUCUACCACUUCACAUUUGGGCCCGGGUUGUGUCUAUGCAAGUGUUUAUCAACUCAAAAUUCCCAUACUUUACUUAAUAAUAACUGAGUAUGAUUG
rnacentral:lncRNA from 1 species